rnacentral:rRNA from 1 species
GUGGGGAAUCUUCCGCAAUGGGCGAAAGCCUGACGGAGCAACGCCGCGUGAGUGAUGACGGCCUUCGGGUUGUAAAGCUCUGUUAUAUGGGACGAACGUGCCUGUGGUCAAUACCCAUAGGCAGUGACGGUACCGUAAGAGAAAGCCACGGCUAACUACGUGCCAGCAGCCGCGGUAAUACGUAGGUGGCAAGCGUUGUCCGGAAUUAUUGGGCGUAAAGGGCGCGCAGGCGGCCUGUCAAGGCUGGCUUAAAAGUGCGGGGCUCAACCCCGUGAGGGGACGGAAAAUGACAGGCUGGAGUGUCGGAGAGGAAAGCAGAAUUCCUAGUGUAGCGGUGAAAUGCGUAGAUAUUAGGAGGAAUACCAGUGGCGAAAGCGGCUUUCUGGACGACAACUGACGCUGAGGCGCGAAAGCCAGGGGAGCGAACGGGAUUAGAUACCCGAGUAGUCC